rnacentral:rRNA from 1 species
GAUACGGCCCAGACUCCUACGGGAGGCAGCAGUGGGGAAUAUUGCACAAUGGGCGCAAGCCUGAUGCAGCGACGCCGCGUGAGGGAUGGAGGCCUUCGGGUUGUAAACCUCUUUCGCCAGUGAAGCAGGCCUGUCCCUUUUGUGGGUGGGUUGACGGUAGCUGGAUAAGAAGCGCCGGCUAACUACGUGCCAGCAGCCGCGGUAAUACGUAGGGCGCGAGCGUUGUCCGGAAUUAUUGGGCGUAAAGAGCUCGUAGGCGGCUGGUCGCGUCUGUCGUGAAAUCCUCUGGCUUAACUGGGGGCUUGCGGUGGGUACGGGCCGGCUUGAGUGCGGUAGGGGAGACUGGAACUCCUGGUGUAGCGGUGGAAUGCGCAGAUAUCAGGAAGAACACCGGUGGCGAAGGCGGGUCUCUGGGCCGUUACUGACGCUGAGGAGCGAAAGCGUGGGGAGCGAACAGGAUUAGAUACCCUGGUAGUCCACGCCGUAAACGUUGGGCACUAGGUGUGGGGGGCCUUUUCCGGGUCUUCCGCGCCGUAGCUAACGCAUUAAGUGCCCCGCCUGGGGAGUACGGCCGCAAGGCUAAAACUCAAAGGAAUUGACGGGGGCCCGCACAAGCGGCGGAGCAUGCGGAUUAAUUCGAUGCAACGCGAAGAACCUUACCAAGGCUUGACAUGUGCCGGUCGGCUCCGGAGACGGGGUUUCCUCCUUGUGGGGCCGGUUCACAGGUGGUGCAUGGUUGUCGUCAGCUCGUGUCGUGAGAUGUUGGGUUAAGUCCCGCAACGAGCGCAACCCUUGUCCCGUGUUGCCAGCACGUUGUGGUGGGGACUCGCGGGAGACUGCCGGGGUCAACUCGGAGGAAGGUGGGGAUGACGUCAAAUCAUCAUGCCCCUUAUGUCUUGGGCUUCACGCAUGCUACAAUGGCCGGUACAGAGGGCUGCGAUACCGUGAGGUGGAGCGAAUCCCUUAAAGCCGGUCUCAGUUCGGAUCGGUGUCUGCAACUCGACACCGUGAAGUUGGAGUCGCUAGUAAUCGCAGAUCAGCAACGCUGCGGUGAAUACGUUCUCGGGCCUUGUACACACCGCCCGUCACGUCAUGAAAGUCGGCAACACCCGAAGCCCGUGGCCCUACGGGGAGCGGUCGAAGGUGGGGCUGGUGAUUGGGACGAAGUCGUAACAAGGUAGCCGUACCGGAAGGUGCGGCUG